rnacentral:tRNA from 1 species
UCCAAUAUAGCCUGGUGGACGUGGCGCCUGCCCGGUGGGCGGAGGGUUGUGGGUUCGAUUCCCGCUCCUGGAC